rnacentral:rRNA from 1 species
UACGGAGGAUGCGAGCGUUAUCCGGAUUUAUUGGGUUUAAAGGGUGCGUAGGCGGGAUGCCAAGUCAGCGGUAAAAAUGCGGUGCUCAACGCCGUCGAGCCGUUGAAACUGGCGUUCUUGAGUGGGCGAGAAGUAUGCGGAAUGCGAGGUGUAGCGGUGAAAUGCAUAGAUAUCACGCAGAACUCCGAUUGCGAAGGCAGCAUACCGGCGCCCUACUGACGCUGAGGCACGAAAGCGUGGGUAUCGAACAGG